rnacentral:rRNA from 1 species
GUUCCUACGGGACGCAGCAGUGAGGAAUAUUGGUCAAUGGGCUUACGCCUGAACCAGCCAAGUCGCGUGAGGGAAGACUGCCCUAUGGGUUGUAAACCUCUUUUGUCAGGGAGCAACGCCGGCUACGUGUAGCCGGACUGAGAGUACCUGAAGAAAAAGCAUCGGCUAACUCCGUGCCAGCAGCCGCGGUAAUACGGAGGAUGCGAGCGUUAUCCGGAUUUAUUGGGUGUAAAGGGUGCGUAGACGGGAAUUUAAGUUAGUUGUGAAAUCCCUCGGCUCAACUGAGGAACUGCAACUAAAACUGG